CAUUGAAACACCAGUUCUCAUAUGAUCACUUAAGUUAAGCAAUGUUGAGCCUGGUCACUACCUGUAUGGGUGAUUGCUUGAGAAUACCAAGUGCUGUAAG